GAUGAACGCUGGCGGCGUGCCUAAUACAUGCCAGUCGAGCGAACAGACGAGGAGCUUGCUCCUCUGACGUUAGCGGCGGACGGGUGAGUAACACGUGGAUAACCUACCUAUAAGACUGGGAUAACUUCGGGAAACCGGAGCUAAUACCGGCUAACAUGUUGAACCGCAUGGUUCAACAGUGAAAGACGGUUUUGCUGUCACUUUAGAUGGAUCCGCGUCGCAUUAGCUAGUUGGUAAGGUAACGGCUUACCAAGGCAACGAUGCGUAGCCGACCUGAGAGGGUGAUCGGCAACACUGGAACUGAGAAACGGUCCAGACCCCUACGGAAGGCAGCAGUAGGGAAUCUUCCGCAAUGGGCGAAAGCCUAACGAAGCAACGCCGCGUGGGUGAAGAAGGUCUUCGGAUCGUAAAACUCUGUUAUUAGGGAAGAACAAAUGUGUAAGUAACUAUGCACGUCUUAACGGUACCGAAGCAGAAAGCCACGGCUAACUACGU
rnacentral:rRNA from 1 species